rnacentral:lncRNA from 1 species
CCUGGCAAUUGUGUGUUCUGUGAUCAAAGUACUGAAACUUUCAACCACCUGUUCUUUGACUGCCAAGUUACAAAGGGCCUGUGGAGUAGAUUAUGCAACUGGUUGGAACAUAACAGGGCAGUGGGUGAUUGGGAAGCAGAAUUGCAAUGGGUGUGUAGCAAGGCAAAGAGUAGAGUGGUUCUUAAUAGUAUAACAGCUUG